rnacentral:rRNA from 1 species
AAAUUGAAGAGUUUGAUCAUGGCUCAGAUUGAACGCUGGCGGCAGGCCUAACACAUGCAAGUCGAACGGUAACAGGAAGCAGCUUGCUGCUUUGCUGACGAGUGGCGGACGGGUGAGUAAUGUCUGGGAAACUGCCUGAUGGAGGGGGAUAACUACUGGAAACGGUAGCUAAUACCGCAUAAUGUCGCAAGACCAAAGAGGGGGACCUUCGGGCCUCUUGCCAUC